AUCACCAUGGUGUAGUGGUUUGGGCAUCAGACUAUGACUCUGGAAACCAGGGUUUGAAUCCCUGCUCUGCUG